UGGGGGACAACUAUGCUCCUAAUUUGGGGGACAACUAUGCUGCCUGAUCUGGGGGACAACUAUGCUCCUAAUUUGGGGGACAACUAUGCUGCCUAAUCUGGGGGACAUCUGUGCUCCUAAUCUGGGGGACAACUAUGCUGCCUGAUCUGGGGGACAACUAUGCUGCCUAAUCUGGGGAAAAACUACCCGGCCCUCCACAAUACUUUUAGUUUCUCAUGUGGCCCCAUGGGAUAAAUAAUUGCCCCCCCCCAUUCCUCCUCAACCCCGGACAUUCCUUAACCUGGAGCCGCCCGGGGAAAGGAGAAAGUGAAGACAAGAGACUGGGGGACGUCACUCGUCAUCAGAGAGAGCCAGCGUUGCUGUCGCGCACCGCCACUACCGCCGCCGCUGGCAUAAAUAGGGUUUUGCCAAUCAGAGAGCAGCACUACUCAAAUAGAACUCCCAGGAGGUAACAGCGUGUCACACAUGUGAUGUCAUAACCAUUGUCCACCAGGGAGCAGCACUGAGCAGAAAUAACACGGCUCCUGCUCAUUGUUCAUCAGUCAGAGGCCGAUGCCGGACGCUGUACCCGGGAAUGGAGACUCAUACACAUGACUGUGACUGCUGAUGCAGUAUUUCCAGCAUGUGGAGUCGCAUUUCCGGACCUACAGCAAGAAGUUGGAUGAAGACAUAACCCCUGGAAUCACGCACAUACACAGAUACUUUGCCCAAAUUCUAGAGGUAACCUCCUUUAGUAUGCCCAGAGGAAGGGCAGUACAGUAGCCAUGGAUUCCCUACAGGUUUCCUCCCCUCUGGAGGUUUUUCCUGUCCUGAGUAUUAGUUACUGUUCGCUCUUAGUGAGUGAUGGAGGUUACAUAAAAUCCCUACACAAACAUUGUAAGAAAUAAUAAAGU